rnacentral:rRNA from 1 species
UACAGAGGGGGCAAGCGUUAUUCGGAAUUAUUGGGCGUAAAGGGCGCGUAGGCGGCCUUGUAAGUCUUGGGUGAAAUCCCUCAGCUCAACUGAGGAACUGCCUCGGAUACUGCAGGGCUUGAGGCCGGGAGAGGGUAGUGGAAUUCCCAGUGUAGCGGUGAAAUGCGUAGAUAUUGGGAGGAACACCGGUGGCGAAGGCGGCAUCCUGGACCGGUAUUGACGCUGAGGCGCGAAAGCCAGGGGAGCAAACGGG